GCGGAAUUGGUGUUUAACGGCUAGCAUAUGUGCCUUCCAAGUACGAGGUGGGGGUUCGAAUCCCUUAUUCCGCA
rnacentral:tRNA from 1 species